UCCCUGCUGGCUUAGACAGUAAAGAAUCCACCUGUGAUGCGGGAGACCUGGGUUCAAUCCCUGGGUUGGGAA
rnacentral:tRNA from 1 species